UACGAAGGGGGCUAGCGUUGCUCGGAAUCACUGGGCGUAAAGCGCACGUAGGCGGGUCCUUAAGUCAGGGGUGAAAUCCCGGAGCUCAACUCCGGAACUGCCUUUGAUACUGGGGAUCUUGAGUCCGGAAGAGGUGAGUGGAACUCCGAGUGUAGAGGUGAAAUUCGUAGAUAUUCGGAAGAACACCAGUGGCGAAGGCGGCUCACUGGUCCGGUACUGACGCUGAGGUGCGAAAGCUAGGGGAGCAAACGGGG
rnacentral:rRNA from 1 species